rnacentral:rRNA from 1 species
AGUGAACGCUGGCGGUAGGCCUAACACAUGCAAGUCGAACGGCAGCACAGUAAGAGCUUGCUCUUACGGGUGGCGAGUGGCGGACGGGUGAGGAAUACAUCGGAAUCUACUUUUUCGUGGGGGAUAACGUAGGGAAACUUACGCUAAUACCGCAUACGACCUACGGGUGAAAGCAGGGGUUCUUGGACCCUUGCGCGAUGAAAUGAGCCGAUGUCGGAUUAGCUAGUUGGCGGGGUAAAGGCCCACCAAGGCGACGAUCCGUAGCUGGUCUGAGAGGAUGAUCAGCCACACUGGAACUGAGACACGGUCCAGACUCCUACGGGAGGCAGCAGUGGGGAAUAUUGGACAAUGGGCGCAAGCCUGAUCCAGCCAUACCGCGUGGGUGAAGAAGGCCUUCGGGUUGUAAAGCCCUUUUGUUGGGAAAGAAAAGCAGCAGGUUAAUACCCCGCUGUUCUGACGGUACCCAAAGAAUAAGCACCGGCUAACUUCGUG